GUUCCAGGCUGUUGAUGGACCCGUCCUCCGGUGCCUACUGAGCUGAUAUCAGUUCUGAUUUUACACACUGGCUCAGUUCAGCAGGAACAGGAGUCGAGCCCUAGAGCAAAAAACAAGAUG
rnacentral:pre_miRNA from 12 species